GUUCCUACGGGGCGCAGCAGUGAGGAAUAUUGGUCAAUGGCCGCAGGGCUGAACCAGCCAAGUCGCGUGAGGGAUGACGGUCCUAUGGAUUGUAAACCUCUUUUGUCAGGGAGCAAAGGGCGCCACGUGUGGCGUUUUGCGAGUACCUGAAGAAAAAGCAUCGGCUAACUCCGUGCCAGCAGCCGCGGUAAUACGGAGGAUGCGAGCGUUAUCCGGAUUCAUUGGGUUUAAAGGGUGCGCAGGCGGGCCUUUAAGCCGGCGGUGGA
rnacentral:rRNA from 1 species